AUGAGCAAGGAGGAUGCCACCGCGAAAGAAAACGUUUCAGCAGGAGCCCUGCACUCCCUCGACCUAACCCUCCCGCCGCCGCCAGGGCCGGCUCCACCCCGCCGCCGGCCGGCGCUCUCCUCCACCGCGAGACCCGGCACUUCCAGGGCCAUUCCCCCCAGUUCCCUUCCAGGACACACCUCGACGCAGCAUCCUCACCAGCAUCCCCACCCCGACGGCCAGCUCCACCCCGCUGCCGGCCGGUGGUCACCUCGACGGAUCCCGCCUCAACCUCUGAGCCCCCUCUCCGACGCCAUAAACCCUAGGCCGAACUGGGCUGCUUCCAGCCGGCCAGCAGCCUCCCCAGCUGGGCUGCCUCGCUGGGAGAAGCUACUUCGGUGCCGAACGUUUCUGAAAUCGCCACUUGGAGUUAGAAGCUGCGUUUGGAAGCUGAAUUUGAGGAUUUUCAGAAGCUUGGAGAGCCCUAGGCAGCACCCCUCGCCGCCGCUGGACUCUUCGCCCCCGCGCCGCUAUGAUGGCUAUGGCGCUGCUCGCCAGCGCCGCGGGGACUGCCGGAGCCGUGGCGUCCCCUCAGCCUGACUCCGACGCAGGUGCUGUGAUGGCUGUAUUCAAGUACAACUUCGCGGCGCAGUUCCUUUCGAGGAUCAUCCCCUUCUUGUACAACGGCUGGUUCGUGCGCCAGCUCAGCGCCGACGACUGCGCGGCAUAUGCAUUGCAGCUUCCACUUUUCAUCAAUUGUGUCUUAUUUUUAAGCCGAGAGGGGUUUCGGCGUGCUUGCUUGCGUAAUAAUUCUGGGAGUGGUGAUGUGUUGAGUGACGAAGAGAUACUGAAGGUAGCUUGGAUGAUCAUCCCGUUUGGCUUGUUUGUGACUUUUAUUGGCAGUCUAUUUGUGUUCAGAAUAAAGAAACUGAAGUUAUCUGACCCUUAUGCAAAAGCUACGUUAAUCAUCGGAUUUGCGUGUAUCUUGGAGCUACUGGCAGAACCUUUGUAUAUUCUUUCCCAGACGAAGAAAUACUACAUAAUAAGAGUGUAUACGGAACCUGCAGCUACUCUGCUACGUUGCCUAACAACUUAUAUCUUCAUAAAAGGACAUAUUAAAGUGGAGAAGCUGGUCGUAUUUGCUUUGUCUCAGGUUGUCUAUGCGGCCUGCAUUUUCAUUGGAUAUUGGGCAUAUUUUCUUUUAUUUGCUAAUAUCAGAACUUUUGAUCUCCUUCCAUUCAGGUUGUCAACCCUGAUGGUCUACGAUAAACAGUUAUUGCACAUGUGCAUAUUGUUUACAGGCCAGACUAUCAGGAAACUGAUCCUCCAAGAAGGCGAAAAAUUUGUUCUUGUUUGGUUUGAUACUCCAUUUAACCAGGCUGCAUACGGUCUUGUGGAUAAAUUAGGAAGUCUGGUUGUUCGAAUAAUUUUCCUGCCAUUUGAGGAGAGUUCUUAUGCUACAUUCACCCAAUUAGCAUCAGGGCAAACUCCUGAGAAUGUAUCCAAUCUGGAAGGUUCUUUGCUCGGAGCUCUUAAACUUAUUACGCUGAUAGGUCUCGUGGUCAUUUCUUUUGGUCCAAGUUAUUCAUACACCCUUCUGAAUCUAUUAUAUGGAAGAAGAUAUAGUGAUGGCGAAGCUACAGCUGUCCUCCGUUUCUAUUGUGUUUACAUAAUCUUCUUAGCAAUGAAUGGCACUUCUGAAGCUUUCCUUCAUUCUGUUGCCAAUGAAAGCCAGCUUAAGCAGUCAAACAAUAUGUUGCUCCUCUUCUCAGCAAUUUAUACUGUUCUAAAUGUUGCUUUUAUUAAAUCUGCCGGAGCUGUUGGGUUGAUUGCUGCAAAUUCUGUCAAUAUGCUACUGCGAAUCUCAUAUUCUGCAGUAUUCAUCAAUGAGUAUUUUAAGGGCUCAUUCUCCUUCUACCGCUGCUUGCCAGCGGGCUGGGGCGUUCUGCUCAUUUCUGGUCUGACCACAGCUUUCUCCGAGAGGAUGUUUCUGAAUAGAAAUAGGUUCAAGCAGACCCUUCCCAUUCACAUGGUGAUAGGCAUCAUGUGCCUGGGCUUCUCAUUGCUUGAGAUAUACCGUGGCGAAAAGCAGUUCUUGGUGAGCAUCAUCAAAUCAUUGAAGGGUCACGACAUACACACAUGAAUUUAUAUAUUUGGGGCAAGUGAAUUUACCCCAGAUAUAUACUCCCUCCGUUCCAAAAUAGAUGACUCGACUUUGUACUAACCAAAGUUGAGUCAUCUAUUUUGGAACGGAGGGAGUAAAUGAUAUUUCCAUACAACAUGCGUGCUGUAAAUUCUUGUAUACUGGCUAGAGUACCAAUGAAGGGAGCUGGACCCAGCAGCUGGAGAGGCUUCUGAAAGAACAGAUCAAAUUGACCGAAAUCAUAAAUCGCCGCUAUGCAGUGAAUUGAAUUGCUGGGACAAGUUAUAGAGGCGACAUAAAGCAUAGAUCAUCUGGGUAGAUAGGUGUGGAAUAUUUCCAAUUUAUGAGAAGCAUCAAGACUGAUUUUGGUAAAUCGUUUGAGAAACAGGACAAUUACGGCGAAACUAUUUUAAAUUGUGUGGAACACUCGAUUUUUACUAGUUAUCAACCAGUGUAGAAACUUUAAAAUUCGAAAAGCAGAUAGUAUGUUUUCUGAAGUUAUAGUACUUUUGUAGGUCAGCAUAUGAAUUUCUUCCAAUUUCUUGAUGCAUCAAUUAUAUGAUAUGAAAUGCAACAAUUUAAUAUUUUGCAUUUCUUCAUUUUUUAGUUACAAGUCCUGAAACACUAGAAAAUGGGUUUAGUUCAAGCCAGUUUAUUUGUGAUUUCGUCGUCAUGUUUCAAAUUAUGGCGUCGGUUUAAGAAUAUGGUUGUAUGUGGGAUUUUCCAAGAACGGGAACUUUUCAUGGAGGCCUCAAACAUUUCAUAGUCUCUUGGUCUCCAGUGACCUCGGCGUUCCACCUGCAUUAUCUUGCAAGGUAAAUCUCCUUUAAGCAGUUGUGGUGAUGCUGUUGGAGACUUUUUUUGGAACAAAAAGGUAGGUCAUUUUCUACCUUAUGCAUUUAAAACGGGUAAAAAUGCCCAGAUGACCAAAGUCAUUUACAUGAAGACGAUGUUAACGCUGCACAAAGACAUGCAGCAGGCCAUCACCAAACCUCUAUGGAAAGAAAAGAGUAAAGAGGCGAGGAAGACAGCUAUGCGGACGUGAUUACAUUUGUCCAUGCAACUAGAGCUUGUUUGACAGUCCCUUCUGCUGCCCUCAUGCUGUCGGAGACUGGUUAGGCAAGUUUUGUAUAUGAGAGAAUUGUUCAGGUGUUUUUCUUUUGGAAAUUAGUUCGUGUGUGUUGGUUGGUUCAGUCCCUCUCUGCGUAUUAAUGGAGCUAGCCAA